CUUAUCAAAUACUAAGUGCACCAGUUUUGCUCUGUAUCGCCAUUCGUCGUAAAGGCUGUAUGUAGUCUAAGCAAUUAAACACUUGAGUGACUGAUCCAAGAUCCUGCAUGCCUUGUGAAUUUAGCACUUUCGAGCCACUCAUCGCGGUACUUAACUUCCUGCAGUUUAAAGGGCAGACUACAGAAACCAUGACGGCUACCCUUGAUCCCUGUACAAACGAAACGAAACUUUACAUAGAAAUGCGAGAAUUAGUGAACACGCUGAAUUCCGACAAUGUAUCGUCCAUAAGGGCAUCCCUGAUAGAUCUGCGUUGCUUUGACACGGCGGAGCGUUUGACGGCCACGGCGGCGCGCAUUGUGCAUAAGGCACUAGCCGAUCCACAUCUGGCAAAAACGUGCGCCGCACUCUGUUCCCGAUUGGCAGAUAUGAAAACAAAGGAUUCCACUGACAUGAAAACGAAGGCUUCCGCGGGCGUAGGCAAACGUGGUAAACCGCUGCAAUUCCGCACCGUUGUACUCCGCCGCACGCAGAAAAGUUGGGAAAAAGCCGACCGAGAUUAUUCUACUAGAAAAAAGCCGACCGAGAGUACUUUGGAAGGUGACAUCCUGCUUUACGGGGAUUCAGAAUCGCGGCGAUUGAAGUGGACUCUUGCUGCUUGGCUUGUAGCCGAUUUUUAGCGCAGCUGCAUGCCAACGGUUUAUUCACUGAUGACGUCGUUAUUUCAAUUCUGCACAAAUUACACGUAGAGAGAUGUGUAGAUGUUAACGAAGCAAGAGUUGAAUGCAUGUGCAUCAUACUGCAGAUAUGUGCUCCGCACAUUAAGCAACAAGUAAGCGGAAUUCUUUAUACUGUACACUUCAGUCUUCAGAGGGUAUAUCGUAAUGCUUUACUGUGUUGUGAUUAAAAAAGUGUCAAGGUCUUCUUCAAGCAGCUAUGCAAAAUAAUCGACGCUGAUAAGGUGACGUCGCCACGUAUCCGUUCCAUGGUGGAAAAAGUGGUUACUGGAAGGAGAAAGAAAUAUAAUUUUCCAAGCACUACCGCAGUUACACCAGUAAAGCUAAGCAGAAGAAAAAACACGGGGUUGACAAGGCUCCGAUUUUUUUAGCGCCACGGCUUAGGAGCGAUCAACCACCACCCUAUAGUAGACACCACUCUGUCCAGCCGUUGCUGCCAGGUGGGAAACGGAAAGUCUUGGGAUUAUUGGCCGAUUCGGCACAUGGUCACGCGCUAAUGCCAAAAGGCGGACUAGGCAGUAGGCACACAGCGACCUGCUUGGAGCGCCGGAAGCAGAGUGACCUUCCGAAGCAAUGCAAACUCGACCAGGUUACCACAGGCUUUACCGAAAGACAUUUCCGUGGGAUGCUCUACAACACAGAUGGUAUCGGACGUAGCAAUAUAUAACCAGGCAAUUAACAAGAAGUUGGAUGGGGAAAACGGUGAUAGAGAAGACAAGGAGGGAGCACUCUUAAUAGGUUUUUAAAGUGUACAGAUACCGAACUACUUUUGAGACUUCUUGCAUUCUGUGGCCAGAUGACCCUGAUACAUUAUACAUGCAUUGUAAAUACAUUGGUGAAGAACGAUAUGUGCGAGCAGCAUCCGGUUGGGAAGAUUUAGGUAAUUUUUAUUAUUAACUGAGAUUCAAUGCGCCAAAAGUUGUUUUAUGGACAGAGCUUUAAAGUUUGCAUGUUAAUGCACUGUGUGUAAAUUUCAGGAUUAUAGCAAUUUAAUCAGAUUUCAUUUCAAAUCUCAAAUUGCAAAAAAAUGCCAGACCUGACAAAAGCUACAGUAGAUCGAACG